GAUGAAGAACGCAGCGAAAUGCGAUACGUAAUGUGAAUUGCAGAAUUCAGUGAAUCAUCGAAUCUUUGAACGCACAUUGCGCCCGCCAGUAUUCUGGCGGGCAUGCCUGUUCGAGCGUCAUUUCAACCCUCAAGCACAGCUUGGUGUUGGGACUCGCGUUAAUUCGCGUUCCUCAAAUUGAUUGGCGGUCACGUCGAGCUUCCAUAGCGUAGUAGUAAAACCCUCGUUACUGGUAAUCGUCGCGGCCACGCCGUUAAACCCCAACUUCUGAAUGUUGACCUCGGAUCAGGUAGGAAUACCCGCUGAACUUAAGCAUAUCAAUAAGCGGAGGA
rnacentral:misc_RNA from 1 species